rnacentral:rRNA from 1 species
AGAGUUUGAUCCCGGCUCAGGAUGAACGCUGGCGGCGUGCUUAACACAUGCAAGUCGAACGGACAUUUAAUGAAACCUAGUGAUUUAAAUGUUAGUGGCGGACGGGUGAGUAACGCGUGGGUAACCUGCCUUACACUGGGGGAUAACACUUAGAAAUAGGUGCUAAUACCGCAUAAGCGCACAGCUUUGCAUGAAGCAGUGUGAAAAACUCCGGUGGUGUAAGAUGGACCCGCGUCUGAUUAGCUAGUUGGUGAGGUAAUGGCUCACCAAGGCGACGAUCAGUAGCCGGCCUGAGAGGGUGAACGGCCACAUUGGGACUGAGACACGGCCCAAACUCCUACGGGAGGCAGCAGUGGGGAAUAUUGGACAAUGGGGGAAACCCUGAUCCAGCGACGCCGCGUGAGUGAAGAAGUAUUUCGGUAUGUAAAGCUCUAUCAGCAGGGAAGAAAAUGACGGUACCUGACUAAGAAGCCCCGGCUAACUACGUGCCAGCCGCCGC